GACGAACGCUGGCGGCGUGCUUAACACAUGCAAGUCGAACGGAAAGGCCCUGCUUUUGUGGGGUGCUCGAGUGGCGAACGGGUGAGUAACACGUGAGUAACCUGCCCUUGACUUUGGGAUAACUUCAGGAAACUGGGGCUAAUACCGGAUAGGAGCUCCUGCUGCAUGGUGGGGGUUGGAAAGUUUCGGCGGUUGGGGAUGGACUCGCGGCUGAUCAGCUUGUUGGUGGGGUAGUGGCUUACCAAGGGUUUGACGGGUAGCCGGCCUGAGAGGGUGACCGGCGACAUUGGGACUGAGAUACGGCCCAGACUCCUACGGGAGGCAGUAGUGGGGAACAUUGCACAAUGGGCGGAAGCCUGAUGCAGCAACGCCGCGUGCGGGAUGACGGCCUUCGGGUUGUAAACCGCUUUCGCCUGUGACGAAGCGUGAGUGACGGUAAUGGGUAAAGAAGCACCGGCUAACUACGUG
rnacentral:rRNA from 1 species